rnacentral:other from 2 species
UACAAGCUGCAUUGUUCGUAAUCAUAAUAAAGUUUUAACCUUUAAGCUGUAACAGGGAGUUUAACAUUGAAACGGGAAUGACAAGCCUCUGUCUAUAUGACAAGGAGGACAGGCAGGAAGGUUUCUGCGAACACCCACUUUGAGGAGUGGUGGUUUAAAACUUUCUUAUACUUCAUUACGGCAAAGGCGGCUGCUAC